rnacentral:tRNA from 1 species
GGGCUUUGACACCCCUGUCGGUAGCGCACGCCUGAUAAGCGUGAGGUCGGUGGUUCGAGUCCACUCAGGCCCACCA